rnacentral:lncRNA from 1 species
AACUUUGUGGUUUAUGAAACCCUCUACUUGAAUUGGAGACUUCUCCCACAUAAAACCCCCUUUUUUUUUCCUCAUUAACCAAAUCGUGAAAGAGUGAAAACGAAACCCUUUGUCGUCGCACUCUUCCUCCCGUUCCCUCCUCUGGUUGAUUGUCUCUGAGCCGUCGAAGUGAUUCCCGGCACUCCUCCUCCCGAUUCCUCCUCCGGUUGAUUGUCUUCGCCGGUAAACGCAUAUUUUAUCUUAGUGUUUUUGGUUUUUUUGUUCAUCUAAUUUUGUUUUCUAAAUUGAAACUGAAGCUUUGUCUCGAUAUCCCUUCUUCUUUUAGAUGUCUCAAUUUCGUUAGAGACAUAAAUAUCAAUUGAAAUUGCAUGUAGAUUUCAACAGAUCUUUGUAUAUAAGUUUUUGUUGAAUUUAUGGGUUUCGUGAGAGAAAGUUUGAUAAUUUUUUGU